UACGGGGGGGGCAAGCGUUGUUCGGAAUUACUGGGCGUAAAGGGCUCGUAGGCGGCCAACUAAGUCAGACGUGAAAUCCCUCGGCUUAACCGGGGAACUGCAUCUGAUACUGGAUGGCUUGAGUUCGGGAGAGGGAUGCGGAAUUCCAGGUGUAGCGGUGAAAUGCGUAGAUAUCUGGAGGAACACCGGUGGCGAAGGCGGCCUGCUGGGCAGUGGCUGACACUGAGGCGCGACAGCGUGGGGAGCAAACAGG
rnacentral:rRNA from 1 species